GAUGAACGCUGGCGGCGUGCCUAAUACAUGCAAGUCGAGCGAACAGACGAGGAGCUUGCUCCUCUGACGUUAGCGGCGGACGGGUGAGUAACACGUGGAUAACCUACCUAUAAGACUGGGAUAACUUCGGGAAACCGGAGCUAAUACCGGAUAAUAUAUUGAACCGCAUGGUUCAAUAGUGAAAGACGGUUUUGCUGUCACUUAUAGAUGGAUCCGCGCCGCAUUAGCUAGUUGGUAAGGUAACGGCUUACCAAGGCAACGAUGCGUAGCCGACCUGAGAGGGUGAUCGGCCACACUGGAACUGAGACACGGUCCAAACUCCUACGGGAGGCAGCAGUAGGGAAUCUUCCGCAAAGGGCGAAAGCCUGACGGAGCAACGCCGCGUGAGUGAUGAAGGUCUUCGGAUCGUAAAACUCUGUUAUUAGGGAAGAACAAAUGUGUAAGUAACUAUGCACGUCUUGACGGUACCUAAUCAGAAAGCCACGGCUAACUACGUG
rnacentral:rRNA from 1 species